rnacentral:rRNA from 1 species
GUGUCAGCCGCCGCGGUAAGACAGAGGGUGCGAACGUUGCUCGGAAUUACUGGGCGUAAAGCGCGUGUAGGCGGGUGAUCAAGUCAGGUGUGAAAUCCCCAGGCUCAACCUGGGAACUGCACUUGAAACUGGUUGCCUUGAGUGCUGGAGAGGGAAGCGGAAUUCCUGGUGUAGAGGUGAAAUUCGUAGAUAUCAGGAGGAACACCGGUGGCGAAGGCGGCUUCCUGGACAGUUACUGACGCUGAGACGCGAAAGCGUGGGGAGCAAACAGGAUUAGAUACCCCUGUAGUCC